ACUCCUACGGGAGGCAGCAGUGGGGAAUUUUGGACAAUGGGCGAAAGCCUGAUCCAGCAAUGCCGCGUGUGUGAAGAAGGCCUUCGGGUUGUAAAGCACUUUUGUCCGGAAAGAAAUCCUUGGCUCUAAUACAGUCGAGGGAUGACGGUACCGGAAGAAUAAGCACCGGCUAACUACGUGCCAGCAGCCGCGGUAAUACGUAGGGUGCGAGCGUUAAUCGGAAUUACUGGGCGUAAAGCGUGCGCAGGCGGUUUGCUAAGACCGAUGUGAAAUCCCCGGGCUCAACCUGGGAACUGCAUUGGUGACUGGCAGGCUAGAUUAUGGCAGAGGGGGGUAGAAUUCCACGUGUAGCAGUGAAAUGCGUAGAGAUGUGGAGGAAUACCGAUGGCGAAGGCAGCCCCCUGGGCCAAUACUGACGCUCAUGCACGAAAGCGUGGGGAGCAAACAGGAUUAGAAACCCCGGUAGUCCCAUG
rnacentral:rRNA from 1 species